AUUGAAUCCCUUCUUAUAAGCCACUCACUCACAAGUGAUAACUAUAGAGGAUUGUGUAGCACUUCUAGGAAUGCAAGUCGUGUUGGAGCAGGCCAUGCACAUUGCACCCAAAUAAUGGAAAGGAAUUGAUCAACCAAGAAAUAACCUCUUGCCAAAAUAAACAAUCAAAUCAUGUAGCAAGAGCUGUAGCUACACAGGUGUGAGGUACAAGUUUAGUGUAACUUGUACAUACUUGAGCAGGAGGUAUGACGCUUAAAAAAAAAAAAAAAAGCUAGUUCCAGAGCCCUUGGAGAAUUAAGGGCUUCUUGUAGAAUUCUAUUGUAUCAUUUUGGCAACAAAAGGGUUAAACAAAAGCAGAACUGUGAAUGGUCUAAUCUCCCUGUCCUGCUUUCAUUAGCUGAAUGGUGCC